GACAUUACUACAAAAGCAGGAUGAGGAGAUAAACAGACCACAAAUAAACAGGAGACGGGUGUACACUGCCUUCCGCCUGAGUGCAGAUGGGAUUGGCACCAGCACCCACCGCAACCCCGAAAGAGACAACCGGUAGAAAAUGAAUCUCUCUGCAAUUCCAGACAUCUAUCUUUCCUAAGGUGUGCGUAGUGACGAACAACAGCGGCAGUGUGUCAUGGCAGCCGCAAGAUGGUGUCGUUGUACCACUUUCCGAACUUCCAUGUCCCAGUGAAACAGGGCUGCGUCAGAUGUACGUUCGUAAACCUCACUCCCUGCCAAUUUCAGAGAGUAUGCCAGCCGCUGGGGUAGAAGCUCAGGCUUUUGUCUUAGCGGCUAGCACACAUACCUCUCAAUCAGGCGACGUGGGUUCAGGCCGCGCUCGGAGCGUUGGAAAUACGGGAAGAUCAGAUACACAACACAGAGACCACUACAAUGGUGCUGUGACCCGGAUGAGAGUGAGUGAGGUUGAGGUGGGUGAGUGUUACGCAGUGGCUGUGCCAGGUGCAUGUUAGUCAACCUCACGCCGGGUUUGCAGCUCGGGCUAUUAGCCUGGCGGCUAGCACACUAACCUCUCAAUCAAGCUAUGUGGAUUCGCUCCCCGAUCGGAGCGGCGGCAGUAUGGGAAGAUUGAUAUACAUCGCAGGGCCAUACUAGGUUAUGGUCCUUUUACCUUUUCAGCAAUUACUGUUUCUUGUUUCCAUUUUUAGAAUUGUUAUGCUGUCUAGAUUUUGCUAGCCACAUGUUCCAAACCGUUAUAUAUGUCUUACAUAACCGUAGGCCAUCCUGUCCAGCUACUCGCUUUGUAUGUGUAUCUUUUGUUUGUACUUUGUUCUUGUUUUUUACGAAUGCUUAGUGCAAAAGUUGUUUUUGAUUCAAGUUUUCUUUUACAAUUUUGCAUUUUUCUGUGAGGACUUUAUCAAAAGACUUGAAGCUUUUGUUUAAAGUAGUGCUGCAUGAAUAAUCAAUCUUAGUCAUAGUCAUUUUAAUAAUUCAUUAUCAUGAAAAUAAAAUAAAAUUGUUGA